rnacentral:pre_miRNA from 1 species
AUUGCAAUUGCUGUAUCAUAUAGUAAGAUUAUGUUAAAUUUUGUAAGAUACUGCCAAACUGACUUCCAAAUUUUCUGUACCAUUUCGUGUUCCCACCAGCAAU